rnacentral:lncRNA from 1 species
GUGGCAACAUCACGACUUUUAUUUGUGGUGCCUGUGCUUUGUCUCGAAAAUACCUUCUCCCCCUCCUCACACAACAGUCAGUGAGGGGGCAGCAAAAAAUAGAAGACGUCCCUCCUAUUGCACAUGGACCCUACAUAAAGGCCCACCGGGGGACCGGCGGGACUCCUGGCACAUUCCUGGACCCUGCUCAGGAGGGGAGGGUGCUGGGGUGGCAUCACACGUGAGGCGGGGACCCCGGGCGGCCCCUCUGGUCCUCGGCUACUGGCCUUGCUUCCUUCCUGGCCCCUCAGCGACAUCCCCCCACCUGGCUCAGCCUCCCCUCCGUCCAGCCUCUGGCGGACCCCAGGCCCUGGGGACCUGUGCUUCCCUCGGGUCCCUCAUGGGGUCUAUGGCUUCUCGGCGGCUUCCCCAGAGCCGUCACUCGUGUUCCCGUGGGAAGGGUGCGUGUGGCAAAGCAGCUGUAUAAAUAUGGGUGCGGGCGAGUCCUCCAGCGUCACUUGGACAGCUUGCUGAUGACUCGGAUCAGUGCUGCAUUCUCAUCCUUGAGCCGCUGGUUAUCAGCGCGGAGGUCAGACAGGGCCUGGGGCACGGGGCGGGGUCAGCAGGGGGCCUGGCCGGGCUGCACCAGCCCUCGGUGGCCCCCCAAGCACCCACCUUCAGCUCCUCCUCCAGCUCGGCAGCCUUGUGCUCCAGGGCCCUGCGCUCCUGGAAUGCAGGGAGCGAGGUCAGAGCCGUGGGGCGGAGAACUGGGGGUGGUGGGCGGGGGCAGGGGAGGGUCAAGUCAGCGUGGGGCCUGUGGGUCGGUACCGCACGGGGAAGGCACAGGGAAGGCUGGGAACGGGGGCCCUCAUCCCAGAGGCCCUGACUCACAAAUCUCUCCAGCUCCAGGAGGGCGGGCCUCUCUGCGAAGCGUUCCUGCCGCUGGCGAGGACAGAGCAAGGCACAGGUCUGUCAGAGUCACGCCCUGCCAGGCAGAGGAGACAGGGCCAGGGCCCAGGCUCUAUGAGGACACAGUCCAGACCCAGGGCUCCAGGCUCAGCCUCCUCCAUCAGACCCGGGGGCCGGCACCCACCCACCCCACACCUGUGUGGACCUCCGAGACUGGCGCAUGAGGCGGGAGCGCGCUUUCCGCUGGGAUUCGGACUCCUCAUCCCGUGCAGGCAUCUGGUAGGACCUGCGUGAAGGACCCGCGUGAAGGACCCGGACUCAGGGAGGGCCUGAGCUCCUAUCCCCAUCCCCUGCAGGCAGCAGCUCCCUCAGGAGCCCUGGUGACUCCUCUCCACUGGACAGGCAACUUCCUCCCUGGCCGCCUCACCUCCGCCGGUCACGGGAGUCCGCUGGGGCCGGGGUGGAGGCUGGGGGGACAUUUGGCUUCGCUGGGGACCCCAGCUCCCUGCUGGAGGGAGGAGUGCAGUUAUACAAGGUGGGUGGGGGCCUGGCAACCCCAGACCUGUUGAAUGCGUUCAUUCAGGAAACAGCGCUCGGGCACUGAGACACAGGCGAGAACCCAGAGCUAGGUCCCCAGCAGAGAAGAUGGGGACGACCAAGCGCAGGCCUCUCAGGGCAUGACCAGGCACAUGGGGACACGGGACUAAAGAAGGGCCCCAGGCCGGGCGAGAGGUGUGCGUGCGGGACUCGGGGCGGGAGUGUGGUGGUCUCAGUGGGCCACAGGCAGAGGACGACAUCUGAUCAGAGACCUGAGGGAGGCAGGGAAGCAGGAGGGCAGAGAUCCAGUGGAGGAACCAAGAGGCCCGGUCACUGUGGCCCAGAAGUCCCACUGGGAGCUUUCCCUUGAUUCAACAAAUGGAAACUGAGGCAGCGUGUUAGGGAAGAACAGGACCCCAGACCUGCCAUCCAGGCCCAGGACUCACAGGGGACAGGGCUCCGGGGUCUUCCGGGAGAGAGUGGGGGGAAUCCCGGCAAGACAGGGCUCCCUGGCCUGUGGAGAGAGAGGAUGUGUCUUCUCCCCAUCGGGACAAGCUCCUGGCCCGGCCACUGCAUGCCACCCACCUGCGCCAAGGUCCCUUCCAGCCAGGACGAGGAGGCCGAGCGCUGCAGCCCAGCCCCAGUGGCUGCCUCGGCCCCCCCGCCUCUCUGUAGGCCCCAAAGCCCCAGAGCUCCCAGUCUUCUGGAGGCCAAAACGCUGAGAGCAGGGUGCAGCAGUGGCGGCGGCAGGCAGCUGGAGGGAGGGAGGGAGGUCGGUCUCCGUCAGAGAAGCAUCUGUCCCUGGAGCGGGAGCCGGACAGCUGCAGCUGCCAGCAGCGCAGAGGCAGCGGAGGUAACAGAUUUCCGUAUCGCAUGCCCGCCUCGGCCUCACAGCCCUCACAGGGACAGACUCACCACAGGGCUCGGGGGACUGGCGAGGGGCGGGGAGGACACGCCAUUGAGGGCUCUGGGUUCUGCAGGGGGCGGCUCUACGGGACAAGGUGUAGGUGCCACAAUACGCCAGGUGUCUCUGGAGACGGGACAGCCAGCCUCCUCCCUCAGACCCGGGGUCCAGGCCCAGCCUCCUCCCUCAGGUCACAAGCCUCCCCCGGGCCCCUACCUACCGGGAUGGCCCUCUUCCCCUUCCUCCUCGUCCCGGAUGGGCGGCCCCCCUGCCCCGCCUGGCCUGCGCUCCUUGGACAGGUCCUGCAGGGAGAUCUUCUCGCGGCUGCUCAGGCGGCACACAGAGCUCCUGGGAAAGGAGCGGGUGUCGGUGUUCGUGUCCGUGGGUCCAUGUCAUCCCCGC